rnacentral:rRNA from 1 species
UACAGAGGGGGCAAGCGUUGUUCGGAAUUACUGGGCGUAAAGGGCGCGUAGGCGGCCUUCUAAGUCGGACGUGAAAUCCCCGGGCUCAACCCGGGAACUGCGUCCGAUACUGGAAGGCUUGAAUCCGGGAGAGGGAUGCGGGAAUUCCAGGUGUAGCGGUGAAAUGCGUAGAUAUCUGGAGGAACACCGGUGGCGAAGGCGCAUCCUGGACCGGCAUUGACGCUGAGGCGCGAAGCCAGGGGAGCAAACGGG